GCAGUGCCAGUGCCAGCUCCCCGGCUCCUCUAGCCUCGUCCUGGAAUCGGGCACCUGGGCCUGACAGUUCUGCUAACCCCGUGGGCGGCGAGGGCUCAGGGGAUUACGGAGCUCGGCUCUCUGUGGUGUUCACUGAAGGUCAAGGUCCACUGUUCCUCCAGCCCCUCCUUUAGAACACAGAGGCCAACAUCCUUCUCACCAAACCAGCUUAAAAUCUGAUACCUUGGAAGCAGAGUCACCACAUGGAGAGGCCCACGAAGUGCUCCAGUCAACAGGGCCCAUCUUCACAUGCCCCAGGCCCAACACCAGACGUCCCACCCAGAGCCCCAGAGCUGUUUGCAAAGAAUGCCAUCAGGAGGAAAUUCGGCCUGGAGUGGGAAGGCUGUCCAGCGCUGCACGGCAGUGUUGUGCAAUCUUCAGGAAGGGAACACAGUGUUCUGAAGUUGCACAAGGAAUGUAAACAAGACAAAUGAAAUCUCUCAGAAUCCGUGCUAAUCCGCUGCCGAAGUCUGAUUCCAGAAAAAGCUUUUGUGUAUGUAGCGUUUGACUAGGUAGCGUGCCUCUCAAAAUACUCAAAGUGGUGAGAGCAAUGACUGAGUUUUGCAAGUGUCUGUGCAUUGAAGGUAGUUUAUUUCUUCCUCGGCAAGCAGGCUCUGUGCUGACAGCAGGUCUCAAGUGCUUGCUGAGCUGUUUUAAAACUCCCAGGAAGACUGGCCUUAGCUUUUAUAAGGAAAAUUCCAAAGCUGACAUUUGUUGAUGGAAGUAACUUCGCUGGGUUUGACAGCAUGGCCUUGGUGGUUCCCGGUGCAUUCCAAUGCCAUCUAUUCAGGAUUUGUGAGCACUUGGGGGGGCGGGUGUGGGAGGGAGCUCUGUGAAGGCCCCCUGCCAGCACGUCCCUUCACACACAAUAAAUAAUCAGGUCAAGGCCGUGGCUCCCCAGCGUGCUCCAAUGGCUUCCCAUGAAAAUGCUCCCGUGUAAGACACACAUACCUACUCCAUCACAGCUUAUUUGUAACCGAGGCUUAUGGGAAGCACAGGGACAAGCGAGUUCAUAAAAUGCACCAUCUAUUCUGUGUUAGACUCUACAGCAAAGCAUGUCAAACUCAAAGGCUAACACUGGCCAAAUAAACAAGGUUUCAG